rnacentral:rRNA from 1 species
ACUCAAAUGAAUUGACGGGGGCCCGCACAAGCAGCGGAGCGUGUGGUUUAAUUCGAUGCUAAGCGAAGAACCUUACCUGGGCAUGACAUGCUAGAAGUAGGAACCUGAAAGGGGGACGACCUGUCAAGUCAGGAGCUAGCACAGCUGUUGCAUGGCUGUCGUCAGCUCGUGCCGUGAGGUGUUGGGUUAAGUCCCGCAACGAGCGCAACCCUUGUCGCCAGUUACAUGUAUCUGGCGAAACUGCUCCGCAUAACGGAGAGGAAGGUGGGGAUGACGUCAAGUCAGCAUGGCGCUUACGUCCAGGGCUACACACACGCUACAAUGGUCGGUACAGAGGGUCGCUAAAGCGCAAGCUGGAGCUAAUCCCAUCAAAACCGGCCCCAGUUCAGAUUGCAGGCUGAAACCCGCCUGCAUGAAGUCGGAGCUGCUAGUAACCGCAUAUCAGCAUGGUGCGGUGAAUACGUUCCCGGGCCUUGCACACACCGCCCGU